CAGGAUCAGCGGGUUUUGAUCCCACAUAAUAUCAGUUAACAGCUGACCGCCCAACCCAGAGAGCAUUAAUCCA
rnacentral:tRNA from 1 species